GGGCGGGCUCGCAGCGCCGCCCGGCGGGCACAGCGCCUGCCCCGGGGCUGCGGGCCGUGCUGGGAGCCGCAAGUCAGUGCAAUAUGAAGGCUACAACACAACUCCAGCUUGGACUUUUUUUGUCCUUUUCACUCCAUCUGCUGGACUACCAGAAUUACUUAUGCCCAGACAUGCCCCUCCAGAUACCAAGGAUAUGUACUGAUUGACGUGAGGAGGAAGCUGAGUCAGCAGGAGUAACUGCUGCAAAUCCUUGACAGAACUGCAACGCAAUUUGGACAUCCAUGUUUCUAAUCUCACUCUUAGCCGCAAGACCAAGCUUAGUCCUUGUUCCUGUACUCAAUGACAAAAUUCUGUAUGCUCAUGGAAUGUCACAGCUAUACCUCUGCUCUCAAGCAGUGGGACUGAGCGCACUCUGGAAGCCUUCAACACUUUCCAGCUCAAGCAAAAAACAGCACUCGUAAGACAAGAAAUUUUGCUCUAAGACUGAGCGUAGUGAUUUAGCAAUAAUAGUCUCUAACUUCUUCAUUAUGGAGAAUGGCCAUGGGUUUGAGCUCUAUCUGAACAGCAGACAUUCAACAAGCAAUCUGAAGAACUGCAGUGCUAUGACCAGCAAAUGGGAAAGCGAGGACUCCCAUCAACGCAGCUCAUCCUUCACUCACCGGCGGCAAAACAAACUGCAUUCAAGUUAGCAUGAGCAAACAGCAGCUCUGUACCAGCUACAUCUCCUUUGUGCUUUGGAAAGCGUAAGUUAAUUCAGUGUGGAGAUAGAUCAUCUGCUUUCUCUGACUGUGAAUCUCACACAGGAUUGUAUUCCCACCUGUCAAAACACCGCCAACUUUCUAUUUUGCUGUAAUGCCUCUGCUUUCUGCCAAAUAGAGUCUUUCCCUUUUUGUCUAGCAACAGCACUAUGCCUUCAAUUAGCAUGUUAUUUCUCUCCUUUGCAGCUAAGACCUAUGUAGGGCAGUCCAAGCGUCUACACCUAUAAGUUGGGAGAAGAGGUCAACCCAACUUGGAUGUUUCAUGCUAAAGGUCUUGUGAUAGAGAAGGACCUCCUUGUACACAAAACACGUUUGGGACCCUCACAAAGGACUCCUGGAAAGGAGCCCUAUGCCAUCACUAGCACUAACGAGAUCUUUAUGUUAGCACAAACGAGUUACAAUAGCAACAUGUUAGAAACUUUGUUUCCACAGUUGUUGCCUUUAAAUCAUUCUUCAGUGUCAAACUACCCAAAUGUCUCUGCUUUUCAGUUCAAGAGUAAGUGUAUCCAUUAAAAUAAAGUACUAGAAGACAAACAUCACUGCCGAAAUAUUUGCACUGCAAUCUCUGGGCAUACAGUGAAGCACAGCCUGAAAAUAUUUGCAGCAGAAUAAUUGUGGAUAGACUUGUCCCAUUCCAUAUGCUUGUCACAGAACUCUUUAAUUUUAUAAUGCUUGCGUCUUUGUGGCUCCCCAAGCACAACAUAUGUUAGUUUAAUGAUAGAGUUGCACUACACUGAGAUUUCUAACUGCGUGUAACCUCUAUUUGUGGGGACCCUCCUUCCUACAAGCACAUGAAUGUGGCAAUGAUGUGGUUUUAUGCUUUGUAUGGUCAUUUGAUAUCGAGCACUCUGGUUAAAAGGAAAAUACUUUCUUGAAUUAUGGAUAUUAGACCAGGACUAUUUUGGGGAAUGCGAUUACCCAGCAGAAGUGCUGGAACUGAA